rnacentral:tRNA from 2 species
GGUCCCGUGGUGAAGUCAGGAGUUCACGCCGGCCUGUCAAGCCGGAGGUCGCGGGUUCAAAUCCCGUCGGGACCGCCA